ACAUAUCAGAUGAUAAGGUAAAGAGAGAGAAUAGAUAUAU
rnacentral:guide_RNA from 1 species